rnacentral:lncRNA from 1 species
GUUUUCUCCCCCUGCUCCCAUAACAUCUGCUCUCAGCAGCUUCUGUUUUCCAAGCCAUUAUCUUUUGUUCUCAUUCAUUUUCUAUUCCAUUAUUUCCCUCCAUGGCCUCUUUAAAAUACAAAUCUGAUCACAUUCCCCCUUAGCAUACAAUUACUCGGGACAGAAUCCAGACAGGCCGGCCUCGGGGGCCUGGGGGGCCUUUCCUGUCCGCCUUUCCGUCCUCCGCUCCUCCCCGCUGCCUCCAGGCAAUCUCGCCCCUCGCACAGGAUUGCUGGCGGCCGAGAAAACUGCCCGACUCUCUCUCACCAUCAUUCUCUUGCUGAAAAGGAGCACAGCUCUGCCUGUCCUUGAAGAUUCAGCUGAGACACUGGUCUGGGCAGCCUGCUAGGGUGGGCCAUCCUGGGUGGGCCUCCUCCCCGCAGCUCAGCCCGCCUGGCUGCGGGCACCUGGAGACCACUCCUCAGUAUCACUGUCAGGACCAGGAACGUCCCUCCCAGAGGGCCCCAACCUGUGCUUCCAGGGCCUGCACCAUCAGAGCAACAGCCAAGGGGAGGCCGGUUCCAAGAAGAGGAAUGUCGCGUGAACUUAGGCCGACAGACACCAAGCCUUCAGCAGAGCCCUAAUCAAUAUAUUGCCUGUGUGCUUGAGUGCUAAGUCGCUUCAGUUGU